rnacentral:rRNA from 1 species
AACGCUGGCGGCGUGCCUAAUACAUGCAAGUCGAACGCUUCUUUUUCCACCGGAGCUUGCUCCACCGGAAAAAGAGGAGUGGCGAACGGGUGAGUAACACGUGGGUAACCUGCCCAUCAGAAGGGGAUAACACUUGGAAACAGGUGCUAAUACCGUAUAACAAUCGAAACCGCAUGGUUUUGAUUUGAAAGGCGCUUUCGGGUGUCGCUGAUGGAUGGACCCGCGGUGCAUUAGCUAGUUGGUGAGGUAACGGCUCACCAAGGCCACGAUGCAUAGCCGACCUGAGAGGGUGAUCGGCCACAUUGGGACUGAGACACGGCCCAAACUCCUACGGGAGGCAGCAGUAGGGAAUCUUCGGCAAUGGACGAAAGUCUGACCGAGCAACGCCGCGUGAGUGAAGAAGGUUUUCGGAUCGUAAAACUCUGUUGUUAGAGAAGAACAAGGAUGAGAGUAACUGUUCAUCCCUUGACGGUAUCUAACCAGAAAGCCACGGCUAACUACGUGCCAGCAGCCGCGGUAAUACGUAGGUGGCAAGCGUUGUCCGGAUUUAUUGGGCGUAAAGCGAGCGCAGGCGGUUUCUUAAGUCUGAUGUGAAAGCCCCCGGCUCAACCGGGGAGGGUCAUUGGAAACUGGGAGACUUGAGUGCAGAAGAGGAGAGUGGAAUUCCAUGUGUAGCGGUGAAAUGCGUAGAUAUAUGGAGGAACACCAGUGGCGAAGGCGGCUCUCUGGUCUGUAACUGACGCUGAGGCUCGAAAGCGUGGGGAGCAAACAGGAUUAGAUACCCUGGUAGUCCACGCCGUAAACGAUGAGUGCUAAGUGUUGGAGGGUUUCCGCCCUUCAGUGCUGCAGCUAACGCAUUAAGCACUCCGCCUGGGGAGUACGACCGCAAGGUUGAAACUCAAAGGAAUUGACGGGGGCCCGCACAAGCGGUGGAGCAUGUGGUUUAAUUCGAAGCAACGCGAAGAACCUUACCAGGUCUUGACAUCCUUUGACCACUCUAGAGAUAGAGCUUCCCCUUCGGGGGCAAAGUGACAGGUGGUGCAUGGUUGUCGUCAGCUCGUGUCGUGAGAUGUUGGGUUAAGUCCCGCAACGAGCGCAACCCUUAUUGUUAGUUGCCAUCAUUCAGUUGGGCACUCUAGCAAGACUGCCGGUGACAAACCGGAGGAAGGUGGGGAUGACGUCAAAUCAUCAUGCCCCUUAUGACCUGGGCUACACACGUGCUACAAUGGGAAGUACAACGAGUCGCGAAGUCGCGAGGCUAAGCUAAUCUCUUAAAGCUUCUCUCAGUUCGGAUUGCAGGCUGCAACUCGCCUGCAUGAAGCCGGAAUCGCUAGUAAUCGCGGAUCAGCACGCCGCGGUGAAUACGUUCCCGGGCCUUGUACACACCGCCCGUCACACCACGAGAGUUUGUAACACCCGAAGUCGAUGAGGUAACCUUUUGGAGCCAGCCGCCUAAGGUGGGAUAU